CCUUGAGAAUGAACUCUACAGAAAUGCUUUGAUUUUAUCAGACGAAUGUUAAUACCACCUCAGUGAUAUACUGCAGAGAAGCUACUGCAGGAGGAUUAACUGAUAAAACAGGUUAAUUUUCUUCAGGCACCUGGUCAUCUAAAAUCAAUCACUGCCCUGGGAAGGUCAGAGCUGUCUGAAAAAGAGAAAUCCUGCCUCCUGGCUGCAGCACUGUACUUCUUCAGCUGCAAGAACUGAUGGUCUAGCAAUGCAUCAAUGUCACAAUGUUAUUUACAAUUGUUAAAAUCCAGUGGGGAUGGCAAGUAUCUUUGAAGGCAAAAAUUACUACUCUUAGUUUAGAAGGAAUAAGAAUCCCCUGGAUGUGCCAGAAUGAAGCCUGACGCCAGCAUUUCUAAGAAUCUCCCUGAUGAUGUUUAUACUGCUGGUCUGAGAACCACACUUCGAGUAGCAAGGGGCUGAAUCAUCUGUGGCUUUCUGGAAGAUUGCCAUAACAUUCUGAAAAAAAAAAAAAUCAUUGUUUUCUUAAAUUUCACCUUCCGUCACGUACAAAUAUUGCCAUUUCUCUUGGGGUUUUGAUCUUUAUGUGUCUCUAUAUUCAACCUGAGUUUUACUGGUUUGGUUAGACAAUUCCUUUCAAUUUGGUUCUCAAAUGACCAACCUUCUCAGUGUAUGAACUUGUCCAAGCAUUCUUUCUCCCUUGAAAUAUCUUUGCGGGUGGGACUUUCUGGAGCAAUAAACAAUUACUGUCUUAGUCUCUUUUUCUUUUUUCUUUUUUUGAGACAGAGUCUCGCUCUGUCCCCCAGGCUAGAGUGCAGUGGUGCGAUCUCAGCUCACUGCAAACUCCACCUCCCAGGUUCAAGCGACUCUCCUGCCUCAGCACCCCAAGUAUGUGGGAUUACAGGCACCUGCCACCACGCCAGGCUAUUUUUUUUGUAUUUUUAAUAGAGACGAGAUUUCAUCAUGUUGGCCAGGCUGGUUUUGAACUCUUGACCUCAAGUGAUCUGCCCGCCUCAGCUUUCCAAAGUGCAAGGAUUACAGGUGUGAGCCACCUCGCCCGGACCUUAGUCUCUUUUUCUUUCUUUUUUCUAUUUAAAAUUCUAACACAAAAUAAUUUACAUUAGGUAAACAGAACACUUUGCUGGUUCACAUACAGAAAAAGUGAUUACAUUUUUUAAUAAGGCAGUUCAAUAAAUAAAGGCUUGCUUUUCAUUAAGAUAAAUUUCAUUAUAGAACUGCCUUUUGGCUGAUAAAGAGUUAAUGAGUUAAAAUAAACUGAUAACUCUAGAUAUAGUGAUUGUACCACCACUAAAACCUACGUCUGCCAAAUAAUAUGUUAAAAGAAAAAAAAAAAAAGCCUGUUUAUGCAGUCCCCAAGGCAAAUAUUAUAGAGCUUACUCUGCCCUCUGAAUGCAUUUGUGAAUUUGCCAUAGAAAUUCUGGAUGCCAUCAGUGAGAGAAUUACUUCUUGAACUUAAUUGGAUUAAGUGGAUCUGCAGCACACUCCACAUGAAUACUGUAAAGCUCUCUCGAAUGAUUUAUUGGCAGUCUCACCCUUCAUAAUAAGAAUAGAAGUCUUGCUGAAGGAUUGUUUGAGUUAAUAUAUAUUAACUACUUUAAAAAUUUUUAAAGUAGAGGUCCCUUUUACUGUAAGGGCAUAUAAACACAAAAAGUAAGAAAUAUUUUCAGGUACUCUGAAAAUUCAUUAUGCUUCUAAAAUUGUGUGUUCCUUUAAGCUAAGGAAAGUGUGAAUGCAAACUUUUCUUGUAUCCUCUCUUAUUUCAAGGAAGGCUGCUGUUUUUGUGGACUCUAGGUUUUAUGUCCUCAAACCUGAAGCAGAGACCACAAUUUCAUGAUUUUCUGCUCAAGUUUUAGUGGAAGGAAGGAAAGCAGUAAUAAAGAACAGGCUAGCGGAAGAACCACGUACUGAGAAUGGCUAGAUAAGUUUCCAGAGAAAAUAUUUUAAGCAGAUAGUACCCAAGACAGGUUAUAUGUUUAUUUAUGGGAAAAACUUCCAUAUCUUCUAUUAUGCUCUGAAGUGAAUGAAUGCUGAUCACGCUCCCGUCCCUAGAACUGUAUGCAUUUAAAUUAAAAAUAUAGAAAGUACAAUAUACACUGAGUUGGGAUCUAUUGACUGUGUCAGUAAUAGCACUGUUUUCAUUUUUCCUUUUGUAAUAGAAGCCAUUGUGUGUGUUCAGGAUGGAUUCUUAGUGUUUAUUAAUCUCAGAAGUGAGAGCAUUUAGGAUUUUAAAAGCUAUUGAUUUUUAAAAAGAGAUCGGAGUUUUUAUAUUCUAUGGUAUCCCCAACUUCUAUUUCAAACCUGUCAUAAAAUAGGUACUCUGCAGAGACCAACACUUGGUGUGAUGAAUUUCAGGCACCUUCUUUACUGUGUCUUGAAAUAUUUGGAUCCUUGUUGAUUUUUAAGAAGUAAAAAAUAAUCUAGUUUUAUUUAUUUAUUUAUUUAUUUAUUUAUUUAUUUAUUUAUUUAUUUAUUUUUAUUGAGAUGGAGUCUCGCUCUAUUGCCCAGGCUGGAGUGCAGUGGCGCGAUCUCGGCUCACUGCAAGCUCCGCCUCCCGAGUUCACACCAUUCUCCUGCCUCAGCCUCCCGAGUAGCUGGGACUACAGGCACCUGCCACCGCGCCCGGCUAAUUUUUGUAUUUUUAGUAGAGACGGGGUUUCACUGUUAGCCAGGAUGGUCUCAAUCUCCCGACCUCGUGAUCCGCCUGCCUCAGCCUCCCAAAGUGCUGGGAUUACAGGCGUGAGUCACCGUGCCCAGCCAAAAUAAUUUAGUUUUAAUUAAUGAUUUUUAAAAAUCCUAUUCUCUCUCUUUUCUUUUGACAGUUUGAUAAACAACGCCCUCAAUUGCGGCAAUAAAGGCAGUAAAAUGGGAACUUGUAACAUGUCCUUCAUUUGAAUGUUCUCCAAAGGCCUCCUACGUAAUCUCUAUUUCCUGUUCUAGUCUCCUUUUUAUUGUCACUUGCUUCUGAACCUUAUUGCCUUCUCUCGUAAAGUAUCUGAACCUUUGCUAGCCUCUGAUAUUAAUUGCUUACCUUUUGCAAAUUAAUCAUUCACUUAUGUUACUAAUGUCAAUACAAAAUAAGUUUUGAAGCAAAAUGAAUGUUUUUUAUUAUUAUUCUAUGAUAUUACUUUAUUUUAUAUCUUGGCAUUUGAGGAAAAAACAAAAUGUAAUAUUAGCAUAUAUACGCUAUACAUACACAUAUAUAAUAGCAUAUAUGCCAUGCAGCAAAACCUAUUAACACUUUGCUUGCAUUCAUAAUGAUUUAAAAGUCUCUGCCCUGAGCAGCAAAUGAUGCCAUAUUGCAGGAAUACAAAGCAAAAGGCAAACAAAAAAUACUUCUUAAAAUGGAGAACUCAUUUGCUUUCUUUCCCUGAUACAUAAUUGGGACUAAGAGAAAUUAAACACAUGACUGACUGCAUUUCUUAUUCAUAAUUAAUUAUUCAAAAGGGAAAUUCAUUGAGUGAUGGAUCCUUACGAUCAAUUAUGAAGUGUCAAAUAAUUAUGUGGGCAAAUAUAAACAUACUAAAAUUCAUUUUGUAGUGACCACAGGUAUAGUUGUGGCAUAGAACUUUACAUUAUAUCUAAAGGCCAGGAUACACAGUCAUGAAAAAAUGCAGAGAAUGUGUGUAUGCAAAGAUCUGAAACCCAGGUCUGGGUUUGGAUUUAGGGGUGAGAGUACGGGACGUAUUUGGUAGUUACUUAAUACUUUGGAAAAUUAUGCAGGUAUGUGUUUUUCUUUCGUGGUAUAAUUGUGGCUUAAAAUAAUAAAAGCACUUUUCAUAAAACCUUUUUCUGAGAUACCAGCAGAAUACGCAUGCAUUGGCAGCUUUGUAAUUUUACACUUAACUACUCCAGAAAAGUUAAUCAGCUUGUUAUUACCACGCUAGAUAUAAAACAAAAUGGCUGUAAGGAAAUGAGUGCUUCUGACAAACACCCACAUACUUGUUUUUUACUUUUAUUUUAGGUUCAAAGGUACCUGUGCAGGUUUGUUAUAUGGAUAAUCUAAACUCAUGUCACGGGGUUUGUUGUAUAGAUUAUUUUGUCACCCAGGUACGACGCCUAGUACCCAAUCGUUAUUUUUUCUGAUUAUCUCCCUCCUCCCACCUCCACCCUCAAGUGGGCUCCAGUGUGUAUUGUUCCCCUCUAUGUGUCCAUGUGUUCUCAUUGUUUAGCUCCCACUUAUAUGUGAGAAUGCGCAGUGUUUGGUUUUCUGUUCCUGUAUUAGUUUGCGAAGGAUAAUGGCCUCCAGCUCCACGUUUUGUCUAUGUAAAGAUAAUAGUAUUCCUUCAGGAAAUAUUUUACACCACAUUUCCAGAUUACAUUUUGGAUGCUAAAAGAUUCUGAAUCUUGGCUUUGGGGAUUUAUAACAAGAAAAAUAAAAUAACUGUGCCAAACACAAAC
rnacentral:lncRNA from 1 species